GGGGGCGACCGGUUUCGACGGGGACCGUAGGUCAGGAGCUGCGGGCCGGGUGGCUCACGUAAGAGCCAGCGAACACUUCCCGAAGCUGAGCUCGCUCUCGCCGCCUAAGAAAGAGGCGGCGCGUCCCCGGCAGGUAGGCGGGUGGCUUGCCGGUGGGCGUCAGACACACCCGCUGUGGUAUCCCCGACGCACGGUGAGGGGAUACCGAGACGGAAAGCCGUGCUCCUCCCGCCGAGCUUGCCCGUGGGCGCAGGCGGGAGCAGAAAGGAUCACGGGCUACGCCCGCUAAACCUCCUGAGCACCGAAAGUCCUCGGACGCGGGUUCGAUUCCCGCCGCCUCCACCA
rnacentral:tmRNA from 1 species